AUUGAACGCUGGCGGCAGGCCUAACACAUGCAAGUCGAACGGUAACAGGAAGCAGCUUUCUGCUUUGUUGACGAGUGGCGGACGGGUGAGUAAUGUCUGGGAAACCGCCUGAUGGAGGGGGUACACUACUGGAAACGGUAGGUAAUACCGCAUAAUGUCGCAAGACAAACGAGGGGGACCUUGGGGCCACUUGCCAUCGGAUGUGCCCAGAUGGGAUUAGUUAGUCGGUGGGGUAAGGGCUCACCUUGGAGACGAUCCAUAGCGGGUCUGAGAGGACGACCAGCGACACUGGAACGAGGAAGCGGGCCGGACUCCUGCGAGAGGCAGAAGUGGGGAAUAUUGCAGAAUGGGCGCAGGGCUGAUGCAGCCAUGCCGCGGGUAUGAAGAAGGCCUUCGGGUUGUAUAGUACUUUCAGCGGGGGGGAAGGAAGUAAAUUUAAUACGUGUGCACAUUGACGUUACCGGCAGAAGAAGCUCCGGCUAACUACGUG
rnacentral:rRNA from 1 species